rnacentral:rRNA from 1 species
UACGGAGGGUGCGAGCGUUGUCCGGAAUUAUUGGGCGUAAAGGGCUCGUAGGCGGUCUGUCACGUCGGGAGUGAAAACACGGGGCUUAACCCCGUGCCUGCUUCCGAUACGGGCAGACUAGAGGUAUGCAGGGGAGAACGGAAUUCCUGGUGUAGCGGUGAAAUGCGCAGAUAUCAGGAGGAACACCGGUGGCGAAGGCGGUUCUCUGGGCAUUACCUGACGCUGAGGAGCGAAAGUGUGGGGAGCGAACAGG